rnacentral:rRNA from 1 species
AACGAACGCUGGCGGCACGCUUAACACAUGCAAGUCGAACGCGGUUAUAUAGCUUGCUAUAUGACUGAGUGGCGGACGGGUGAGGAACGCGUGGGCACCUACCUUAUAGUUUGGGAUAACUGCUGGAAACGGCAGCUAAUACUGGAUACGCUCGUAAGAGGAAAGAUUUAUCGCUAUAAGAUGGGCCCGCGUCAGAUUAGGUAGUUGGUAGGGUAAUGGCCUACCAAGCCGAUGAUCUGUAACUGGUCUGAGAGGAUGGCCAGUCACACUGGGACUG